AUUGAACGCUGGCGGCAUGCCUAACACAUGCAAGUCGAACGGCAGCGCGGGGGCAACCCUGGCGGCGAGUGGCGGACGGGUGAGGAAUACAUGGGAAUCUACCCUGUCGUGGGGGAUAACGUAGGGAAACUUACGCUAAUACCGCAUACGACCGAGAGGUGAAAGCGGCGGACCGCAAGGCGUCGCGCGAUUGGAUGAGCCCAUGUCGGAUUAGCUAGUUGGCGGGGUAAAGGCCCACCAAGGCAACGAUCCGUAGCUGGUCUGGGAGGAUGAUCAGCCACACGGGAACUGAGCCACGGUCCAGACUCUACGGGAGGCAGCAGUGGGGAAUAUUGGACGAUGGGCGCAAGCCUGAUCCAGCAAUGCCGCGUGGGUGAAGAAGCCCUUCGGGUUGUAAAGCCCUUUUGUACGGGAAGAAAUCCUGUCGGUUAAUACCCGGCGGGGAUGACGGUACCGUAAGAAUAAGCACCGGCUAACUUCGUGCCAGCAGCCGCCGUAACAC
rnacentral:rRNA from 1 species